rnacentral:lncRNA from 1 species
UUUAAUUCAUGAAAUCUAACUUGAACGUCGGAGGGUCUCCACCGGGGAAUCCCCGGUAGGCCCCUGACCGUUUUUCCUUGUUUUGCAAGUCCUUUCAUCAGAUAGAACAUUGAGAGACCCAUUUGAUGGACCCAUAUGAUGGACCAAGAAGAAAGCCAAUCUAUCAUGGACUAGGAGGAGAAAAAGAUUUAUCAAAUGGCGCCGUCUGUGGGAAACGAAGGAGAUCUUUUCAUCACCGGAGUUCCUAAAUCCACCCAUUGAGAUCCACAUGAAGGUAUGAAAGCUUAUGCGAAAAGAAAGCUGGAGAUUUACAAUAACCCAGCUGAAUAACCUAGCUGAAAAGAAAGAUCCAGCUGGUUCAAGAAUAUCUUGAUAGUCUUUUAGAUAGUUUAUUUUAACAUUUAUUGAAUUUUAUUACUACUAACCUUUUCUUUGAGAUCUGACGAAGUGAAACUUCAGAUGAUGUGUAUAUUUAUUGAAAUUGUGAGGUCGGCCGUGUAUAUGUUGUAAAUGUGAGAUGUGCAGGUCGGCUGUAAAGUCCCAGAUCAGCAAGUUAGAGAAAAAAUUAAUAAAUAAAAAUAAGCGAGGUCGGACUAGCAUUUCAGGUCGAGUAGGG